rnacentral:rRNA from 1 species
CAUGUAGGCGGCUUAAUAAGUCGAGCGUGAAAAUGCGGGGCUCAACCCCGUAUGGCGCUGGAAACUGUUAGGCUUGAGUGCAGGAGAGGAAAGGGGAAUUCCCAGUGUAGCGGUGAAAUGCGUAGAUAUUGGGAGGAACACCAGUGGCGAAGGCGCUUCUGACUGUGUCUGACGCUGAGAUGCGAAAGCCAGGGUAGCGAACG